rnacentral:lncRNA from 1 species
AGAAGAAAAUUGAAAAUAAUCGUAAUAGAAGAACAGGUUUACAUUACAUCCUUAUUCGAAGCAAUGGGUUUGUCAAACUGAAGCUGAAAUGGAAGAACUCUUUGGGUUUGUCUGUUUCCAUGGCUGCUACUAUAUCAGUAUCGACUGAUGGCGUCUUAGUGCUGUCUGUAUGUCGCUGCGCAGUGGCGCCUGCUCAAGUAUGAGAGAAUUGAGGGCGGGGUUUUGGGUGUUAAGUUGAACUGGGUCACCAAAUUAAAUAAGUGUUGG